CCUACGGGUGGCAGCAGUGGGGAAUAUUGCACAAUGGGGGAAACCCUGAUGCAGCGACGCCGCGUGAGUGAAGAAGUAUUUCGGUAUGUAAAGCUCUAUCAGCAGGAACGAGACAAGACGGUACCUGACUAAGAAGCCCCGGCUAACUACGUGCCAGCAGCCGCGGUAAUACGUAGGGGGCAAGCGUUAUCCGGAAUCACUGGGUGGAAAGGGAGCGUAGACGGCUGUGCAAGCCUGAAGUGAAAGGCGGGGGCCCAACCCCUGGACUGCUUUGGGAACUGUACGGCUGGAGUGCAGGAGAGGUAAGUGGAAUUCCCAGUGUAGCGGUGAAAUGCGUAGAUAUUAGGAGGAACACCAGUGGCGAAGGCGGCUUACUGGACUGUAACUGACGUUGAGGCUCGAAAGCGUGGGGAGCAAACAGGAUUAGAUACCCUGGUAGUC
rnacentral:rRNA from 1 species